rnacentral:rRNA from 1 species
UACGUAGGGGGCAAGCGUUUGUCCGGAUUUAUUGGGCGUAAAGGGCGCGUAGGCGGCUUUUCAAGUGACGGGUGAAAUCCCUCGGCUUAACCGAGGAACUGCCUGUCAGACUGGAAGGCUUGAGACCGGGAGAGGUGAGUGGAAUUCCCAGUGUAGCGGUGAAAUGCGUAGAUAUUGGGAGGAACACCAGUGGCGAAGGCGGCUCACUGGACCGGAACUGACGCUGAGGCGCGAAAGCGUGGGGAGCGAACAGG